ensembl:lncRNA
UUCUAGAUGGUGUUCUUCUAACUGAUUCAUUUUUCCUAUUCUGAUGACUUUUUUUAUUUUCAUUCUUUAAGGAAAUAGUUAUUUGCCAACUACUUUUUGACAGGUUGGGUAAAGAAUUGUCCUAGGUUUGCAAAUGAAAAGGUUUUCAUCUUUGAAAAUAUAUCCUAAAUGUACCCUAGAGGGCAGAGUCAUUUGGAAAGAGAUCCCACACACCUGCUGGGCUAUUGAUCCGUGCCCACUGCAGAGCUCCUUGGUGAAAAGGACCAACACCUGGGAAAGCGAAGUUGGGAGCAUGGGUGGAGCCUUCUGGUUUUUUCUCAGCAGCAAAGGUUGGGAAUGUGGUCCGUGACUCUCCUUUGUGCAGGUUCUGACAAAAAACAACAGCAAAAUCCUUAUUUAAAACAAACACAAACCCAGUAUAACCCAGCAGGCCAUUCUGCUGGCAGGGAGCUCUUACAGUUCUUGCCUGCUGGAGAUUCUUAGCCUGUUCUUGAGGGUUAGGUUUAUUUUUCAAAUAGAAGCAGACCAGCUGAUGUUUUCUAACAAUGAAAUUGAACCAGGUGCAGCCCUUUCCAAAAGCCACCUCCUCUUACAGACCUGAGCCGUGCAGUGGGUUACUGCCAGUGUUUCCAUCUAACUGGUGAGGAAAGUCAAAGCUUCCUCUGUGAGCCUGAGUGUCCAGGAAGGAUUUGGAAUGUCUUUUCAGCUCCUUUUUUUCUAUCUCCAUGCAGAUAUUUGCAGCUCUCCCCACCCAGCUGUGCCAUCUCUCAACCUCGACCUUCCCAGCACUCCCCAGGCAGGUCCUGGCCCUUCACUGUGGUGUGGCAAAAUUCAGUCUUGCCUACGCAGCUGAAAAACUUUGGCUCUUCAUAAUAACACCAGCUUGCCUGCAGGGAAUAAGGUGGAAGCUGGACCACGUCAAGGCCUUUUAUAUCCUGCAAAGGUAUGUUUGCAAGACACCCGUGGAGAGCACUAUGCAGAUGAGUGACAGUAGGAGAGGUAGGACCAGCUCCCCAGCACAGGGAAAAUGGGAUAGAUCAAAUAGUUACCCAGAUUUCCAUCAGCUGUAGGGUUGGCCUGGUGACAGGUAGGAUUGCCAUGUUGCACAGAUAACUCACCUCUCUGCCAGCUGUAAUAAACAUGUCCACUUGAUGCCAACAGAACUGGACUAAAUCUCUCCACGUUUUCUUCCCCUUCCCAUUUGCUGUGGUGUGAAUAGCCCCAUCUCUGCAAAAUAAGCAAAAUAAUGAAGAGUAGAUGAAAUUGCUGAGUGGGAAUCCAGUUUGAAUUUGUGCUGAGAGCUUUCCAAAGCAGAAAACAUCAAUCUCAAAAGGUUUUUCAGGAUUCAGACUUUUGUCUUCAUCUUUGGCUAUGUUCAAACACAAACUGUUAACUCUGAGAAAAAUAAUAGGAAGAAAAACCUAGUCUUUAAAAGUCAACGUUGCCAUGGGUAUAAAGUUCAUGGAGCACAUGGUACAAAAAGGUUAGUUUGAAACCAUGACAUGAAUAGAAAUCUACAGCCCAAAAGUGAAUAUUGUGGGGUUCCUUUCUCUCUUACUGUGCUAACAAAUUCUGGCCAGAAAAUUAGAAAGUGAAAUGCCCUAAAUUAUCCACCCCCAAAUUAAAG